CACGGCAGACAUGUUGAGAUGUCAUAGUGGGAAAAGCACAGGUGUAUUCAAAACCAUCCAUGAUGGCUGCAUUCCACUUCGGAGAGGCCCUGGUACUGUGCAUGCUGACUCACUGAAAUAGCAUACUGGGACACUUUGUUAAGGUUAUCAAGUUCAGCUGUGCUUUUCCUACUGUGACAAGUCAAAAUGUCUGCCGUGAAAAAGGUCUAUAUCAAAUCAAGCUGUCAAUUUACCAAUGCUUACCAAAACAUUUUUGAGAAUGCACUUACAGUAUUUGGAUUUUUAAGGAUAUUGCGUAGGGAGUAGCAAAUUAUUUCAAUUUAAAAAUGUUUUGCUUUCUGAAAUAAAGCA